GAACAAAUGUGCUGUGACAGAUGCUGCUUGGGGAGAAAGGCCUAUUUUGAUGUGCACCAUGGAGGAUUUGUGUUCCUAUGCUAGGAGACUCUCCCUCUCAGGUAUGAAGCGGAAAUUUACAGAUAAAGCAAUGAAGAAGGAGCAGUAAGUUUGCUAGCCAGCCUUGUAGAAACUUCCUCCAGACUAUACAGUCAUUAACAUAUGCAGAAAUAAAUCAGCAGGAUGUUCCCGCCCUUCCUCCCCCUCCCCCGCAAGACAAUAGCUUUGCACCUGUUGAAGACUUAUGAAAUUGGGCAGAUUUUUCUUUUUCUCUCACUGUAAGCAUUUUAUAGGUCAGGCACAGUGGAAAAUCAGUGAUCCAAACCAAACUGAAAUGUGUGUUGUAGUGGUUGACUUGGUCAUGUAACUGGUUGAAAUUAAAAGUAUUAUAGGGAUAACCUUGUGUUCUUGUGGCAGUGCAAUGCACAGUCAUGUAAGAGAUCAGUAUUUAGGCCCAGAUCCACAAAAGGAUUUAGGCACCUACAGCUCAGAUUUAGGCACCUAAGUCCCCGUUGUGGGCAUCACUGUGAUUCACAAAACCCCUGCUUGGCUGCUGCCUAACUCUGUAGGUGCCUAAAUUCACUUGGUGCCUAUGUUUUUGCUGUAAAAGUUCCCUAGGUACCUAAGUUUCUGCUACUGAGUAUGCACAAUGUUGCCUUUCUCUAGGCAUCCAUAUGCCUGUCUCACACCGAAGCUCCAGUGCAAUCCUCAAACCAGGAGAAGAUAGGCAUUCCUCUGCCUGAUCUGCUAGGUGUGCUCUGAACAUGCCUCCUCACUCCACAUGAACUGGCCAGGAGAGAGGAGUCCUCCCUUUAGCCCAUUGUUUAAGGUAUUCACUCAGGAAGUGGGAGACCCUGGCUGAGUUUCCUCCCCUGCCUUAUGAGAAGGGAUUUGAACAGGGGUUCCUCACUGCUCAGUGGAGUGUCCUAACCACUGGGCUAUGGGCAUUCUGAUGUGGGGCUUUCUCCAUGGCUCUUGUUGAAGCUGCUCCACUUUAGUUAAAUCAUUCAGUAUUAAUUGGGCCAGAGAAAGAAUGAGAAUCACUCUAUAGUCCAACAGUUAGGGUGCUCACCUGACAGGUGGAGAACCCCUGUUCAAAUCCCUUCUUCUGAUCAGCCAAGUGGGGGCGGGGGAUUGAACCAGGAUCUCCUACAUUCCAGAUGAGGGCCCUAACUAGUGGCAUAAAAGCUAUAAGGGAAUCCUUCUCCCACUGCACCCCCAGCCAUUUUGUGUCUAACUCAUUCUCACAAGGCACCUAAGCCACCUGAUUCCGGGAAAGGAGUUCCCAGCUGUGAAUCCCAGGCAGAGACAGGCACCUCCCUAUAGUCCAGACUUAGGUGCCAAACUCUGUGAAAGACGUGGGGCUUAGGAUACAUCCCUCUCAGCAGCUUCUCCUAUUGGCUUGCUUAGGCAGCUUCCUGCCUAGCAUGCUGCCAUUCUUAAGCACCUCUCUCUCCCCAUUUAUUGUAUAGGGAGCCUAGGCACCUAACACAGGCUUUGUGGAUCCUGUUGUUGUUCCAGUGAUUUUCUAGGUGCCUAAAAGUAGGGUGUUGCCAUGCUGAGUGUUACAAUGCCUAAGUCUCUUUGUGGAUCUGGGCCUUGGUUUCCAAGUUCCAUUGAUGGUCAAGACAAUGUGCUGGGCCUGUUGAGGGGCAGACAGAGAGCAUUGCACUGCUCCCUAGGGACACCAGUUGACAGGUAAAUAGAGCUCUAAAGAGAGCCAUAUCCAGCUCUCCUACACCAAAGAGAAGGUUACUGCAACAUGGAGCACUGGGUGAGAAGUGAAAAGGCCAAGAGUUAGCAAAUAUGAAAACAAACAGCUUGAGAUUUUUUUUAUUUCAGUAUGAAAAUCAUGUGCAUGUCAGAGAAGAUUGGUCACAGAACCUUUUCAUAUAAUAGAGCAAUUUGGAUAAUUGAGUUUAUAAUGUAAUGCUACUCAUGUGCUUUGCCAACUAGAAUUUUUGUUACUAUUUUCCUCCUACCUUAUAAGCCCCCAUGCUUAAGCAAUGCUUUAUAACUGAUAUUUUGAAAAUAAAAUAAGGAAUUUAAAAAUUAACUUUAAAUGUUUGAAGGAAGGGGAGGUGGUGUUAGAAUGCCAGGAUGGGCUAAGAUGCAUUUAUCUGAAGGUCUUGAUGUCCUCACUAAAAGAUUAACCCAAAAAACUAAGCUACAAAACUCACAGAAAAUCAUGUAAAUUGGGAACAAUGAAGAAUUAAACAAAGAAUUUGUUCAAAAAAUCUGCAAUGACUUAUUGGCAAAGCAAUAUGAAUAAGCAGUCAAACUCCGCAAAGAAAGAAGCUAGUAGAAAGAUGUUGGUUGGCAAACAUCUAUCUAAUGACCCCAUACAGGACUGAAA